UACGGAGGGGGCUAGCGUUGUCCGAAGUUACUGGGCGUAAAGCGCGCGUAGGCGGGUUGGUAAGUCCGCUGUGAAAGCCCGGAGCUUAACUCCGGAGGGUCGGUGGAUACUGCCAGUCUUGAAGGUGCUAGGGGGAGAUGGAAUUACCGGUGUAGCGGUGAAAUGCGUAGAUAUCGGUAGGAACACCGGUGGCGAAGGCGGAUCUCUGGGCCUUACCUGACGCUGAGGCGCGAAAGCUAGGGGAGCGAACAGG
rnacentral:rRNA from 1 species